UUAUAACCAUGAUGAGCAAGAACUGGGCAGCUGUUGAAUUUUGCCCGCUUCAUCCCCAAGCUGCUUUUCUGGCAAGACUCAUGUUAGGGUCCCACGAAGGCUAAUCAUUCCUAAGUCUGUGUUUCUAACCUUCAGCUCUUCCCUGCUGAUAUCUUGCAGGGACCUCAACAUUCAUACAUCCAAGGAUUAAUUCAACUUUUUCAUCUCCUAUCCCUUGUUCUGCUUUUGCUAUUCUGGUUAAUAUCCAAACCAGAGAGUUCAAAGCUACCUUCAACUUCCCACCUUCAAAUACUUUAGCCAUAGAGCUUAGGUUAAUUUCCUAUUCCCUGCCCUUGACACGGCAUGAGGAAUUAUUGAUACUUAGACAAAUAUUAAGAUCAUAAGUGUCUUUACAGAGUAUUAUCCAAAGCCACCUUGAAUUCUCCAUGUUUUGGUAAAGCUGUAAUAUUCAGAGUGAAUUUUUAAAUCUGGGGAAUUGAAUCAAUGAGUACCCAGAUUCAAAUAUCAAGUGCCGUGAUGAAAUCUGUGGUGUGGGAAUGCAAGCAGCUGAAAAGGCAGAGUUCUCAUCCAUUGACUGCUGGCACCCAGGAGAGUCAAAAUGCAAGUUGCGUAAAGAAAACUCUGAACACGUGUGGUUGAUUACAGUCAGUUUGAUUAAACACACUCAAAAGAGAGAUGAUUCCUGCUGAGCCAAUCACGAAAUGAAAACAAGCGUCUGAAAGCGUGAUGACAGAGUUGGUGACAAGGAAGCAAAUUUCACCUUGAGAUAUGAUCUUGAAUUCAACCUCGGAAUCUAUCUUCCCACCCUGGCUAUAGAUCAGAACCACCUGGAGUGCCCCCUGACCCUACAGCUGCCCUGUUUCAACCCUACUCCCCUCACCACCAAUUUUGAGGCUUUAGACGUGGAAUGCAUUUGGAAAACAUGCAUUUAUUUUAAGUUGCCCAGGUCACAGGAUCCUCCCCUGCAGAAGGAGGGGUGAGCUUCACGAUGUUGGGCCCCAUGUCCUGCUUCCACACAAGGUCUGACAGAAAGGUCCUGGAUCUGAGAGAUGGGACACCUGGCCAUGCAUAGCACAUAGUAGGCAUGCACAACAAAAUGAAUUCACUGAAUGGAGCCUGCAUUCUUGUCUUGAAUUUGUAACUAACUAGAUCAAGUGGUGGGAGUAAGGAUCUAAACCUAAGUUUUCCCAUAUGUGAAAUAGAGGAGUUAGACAAGGUCACCAUGACUAUACCUUUUGGUUCUCAGAUUCUAUCAUUUUAUUAUUUUAUAUCCUAUCUACCCAGAGCUUGAUCUUCCUGUAUGAGGCCUGAUUGUUAGUAAACUGAUCCAUGAAAGGGUGCUGGGGAACCUCUUUGAGUAUCAUUGCUGUUAUCUACAAAGGCAGACAAUAAUCCUAGGGCUGUUUUGUGAUUCGAAUGAAAGAAAGGAAUGAAGUUCCUAGAAAUAUUAAUGACACAUGCCCCAAAAACGAUAGUUGUUGCUAUUUUCAUCAUUAAAUAACAACUUUUCCUCUUUUAGUUAAUAGAGCUUUGCUAAAUUGUGUGUGUGUGUGUGUGCGUGUGUGUAUGUGUUCAGUCAUUCAAGUCAUGUCCAGAUCUUUUCGACCCUGUGGCUCCUCUGUCUGUGGGAUUCUCCAGGCAAGAAUACUGGAGUGGGUUGCCAUGCCCUCCUCCGGGGGAUCUUCCCAACCCAGGGAUCAAACCCCAUGUUUCUUAUGUCUCCUGCAUUGCCAGGUGGAUUCUUUACCACUAGAAUCACUUGGGAAGCCCUUGCUAAAUUAACUGGCCUUAAAUUAAC
ensembl:lncRNA